rnacentral:rRNA from 1 species
CUAAGGUGGGACAAAUGAUUAGCCUAAGGUAGCCGUAGGAGAACCUGCGGCUGGAUCACCUCCGGGCUAAGGAAACAGACUGAAAGUCUGACGGAAACCUGCACACACGAAACUUUGUUUAGUUUUGAGGGGAUUACCCUCAAGCACCCUAGCGGGUGCGACUUUGUUCUAUGAAAACUGGAUAUCAUUGUUGUAAAUGUUUGAAAUUGCCGAGAACACAGCGUAUUAGUAUGAGUUCUAAUAAUAGAAAUUCGCAUCGCAUAACCGCUGACGCAAGUCAGUACAGGUUAAGGGCGCACGGUGUUACAAAGAUGGUAUUCACAUUACCGACGCCUGCCGCGAGCAAGGGUGCGGGUUAGUGUCUUUUCGG